AAUGGCUCAUUAAAUCAGUUAUCGUUUAUUUGAUAGUACCUACCAACUACAUGGAUAACCGUGGUAAUUCUAGAGCUAAUACAUGCUAAAAACCCCGACUUCGGGAGGGGUGUAUUUAUUAGAUAAAAAACCAAUGCCCCUCGGGGCUCCUUGGUGAUUCAUGAUAACUCAACGGAUCGCAUGGCCUUGCGCCGGCGACGGUUCAUUCAAAUUUCUGCCCUAUCAACUUUCGAUGGUAAGGUAUUGGCUUACCAUGGUUUCAACGGGUAACGGGGAAUUAGGGUUCGAUUCCGGAGAGGGAGCCUGAGAAACGGCUACCACAUCCAAGGAAGGCAGCAGGCGCGCAAAUUACCCAAUCCCGACUCGGGGAGGUAGUGACAAUAAAUACUGAUACAGGGCUCUUUUGGGUCUUGUAAUCGGAAUGAGUACAAUUUAAACCCCUUAACGAGGAACAAUUGGAGGGCAAGUCUGGUGCCAGCAGCCGCGGUAAUUCCAGCUCCAAUAGCGUAUAUUAAAGUUGUUGCAGUUAAAAAGCUCGUAGUUGAACCUUGGGCCUGGCUGGCCGGUCCGCCUCACCGCGUGUACUGGUCCGGCCGGGCCUUUCCUUCUGGAGAGCCGCAUGCCCUUCACUGGGUGUGUCGGGGAACCAGGACUUUUACUUUGAAAAAAUUAGAGUGUUCAAAGCAGGCCUUUGCUCGAAUACGUUAGCAUGGAAUAAUAGAAUAGGACGUGCGGUCCUAUUUUGUUGGUUUCUAGGACCGCCGUAAUGAUUAAUAGGGAUAGUCGGGGGCAUCAGUAUUCAAUUGUCAGAGGUGAAAUUCUUGGAUUUAUUGAAGACUAACUACUGCGAAAGCAUUUGCCAAGGAUGUUUUCAUUAAUCAGUGAACGAAAGUUAGGGGAUCGAAGACGAUCAGAUACCGUCGUAAUCUUAACCGUAAACUAUGCCGACUAGGGAUCGGGCGAUGUU
rnacentral:rRNA from 1 species